CAGUAGCCGCGGUAAUACGGAGGGUGCAAGCGUUAAUCGGAAUUACUGGGCGUAAAGCGCACGCAGGCGGUUUGUUAAGUCAGAUGUGAAAUCCCCGAGCUUAACUUGGGAACUGCAUUUGAAACUGGCAAGCUAGAGUCUUGUAGAGGGGGGUAGAAUUCCAGGUGUAGCGGUGAAAUGCGUAGAGAUCUGGAGGAAUACCGGUGGCGAAGGCGGCCCCCUGGACAAAGACUGACGCUCAGGUGCGAAAGCGUGGGGAGCAAACAGGAUUAGAUACCCCGGUAGUCCCUGUCUCUUAUAC
rnacentral:rRNA from 1 species